rnacentral:rRNA from 1 species
UACGUAGGGGGCUAGCGUUGUCCGGAUUUAUUGGGCGUAAAGAGCGUGUAGGCGGCCAUGUAGGUCCGGUGUGAAAACUCGAGGCUUAACCUCGAGAUAUCAUCGGAAACCAUUUGGCUAGAGUCCGGAAGAGGAGAGUGGAAUUCCUGGUGUAGCGGUGAAAUGCGCAGAUAUCAGGAAGAACACCCGUGGCGAAGGCGGCUCUCUGGGCCGGUACUGACGCUGAGACGCGAAAGCGUGGGGAGCGAACAGG